AUUUAUAUACCUCUCAGUUGGUAAAGCAUGAGGGUAUUAAUCUCAGGUUCAUGGGUUCGAGCCCCACAUUAGACA